rnacentral:rRNA from 1 species
AGAGUUUGAUCCUGGCUCAGAACGAACGCUGGCGGCGUGCCUAACACAUGCAAGUCGAGCGUGAAAGUCCCUUCGGGGGCGAGUAAAGCGGCAGACGGGUGAGUAAUACAUAGGUAAUCUACCUUCGAGAUUGGGAUAACCCUGCGAAAGUGGGGCUAAUACCGGAUAAGACCACACGGCUCAAGUCGUGUGGUAGAAGGUGGCUUAUUUUUUAAAUGAGCUAUCACUUGAGGAUGAGCCUAUGGCCUAUCAGCUUGUUGGUGAGGUAAGAGCUCACCAAGGCUAUGACGGGUAGCUGGUCUGAGAGGACGACCAGCCACACUGGGACUGAGACACGGCCCAUACUCCUACGGGAGGCAGCAGUGGGGAAUAUUGGGCAAUGGGCGAAAGCCUGACCCAGCGACGCCGCGUGGGCGAUGAAGGCCUUCGGGUUGUAAAGCCCUGUCAUGUGGAAAGAACAGUUCCGUGGUGAAUAUCCACGGGAUUUGACGGUACCACAGGAGGAAGCACCGGCUAACUCCGUGCCAGCAGCCGCGGUAAUACGGAGGGUGCAAGCGUUGUUCGGAAUUAUUGGGCGUAAAGGGCGCGUAGGCGGUUGUGAAAGUCAGAUGUGAAAUACUUCGGCUCAACUGAAGAACUGCAUCUGAAACUUCAUAACUCGAGUACAGGAGAGGGAAACGGAAUUCCCGGUGUAGAGGUGAAAUUCGUAGAUAUCGGGAGGAACACCAGUGGCGAAGGCGGUUUCCUGGCCUGAUACUGACGCUGAGGCGCGAAAGCGUGGGGAGCAAACAGGAUUAGAUACCCUGGUAGUCCACGCUGUAAACGGUGAAU